rnacentral:rRNA from 1 species
CCCUAUGGGGUGCAGCAACAUACAUAUUCGCAGAUACAAGAUAUUUCACGCCAGCAUGGGAUCAAUCUACGCGUUAUCCAUCAUCUGGAUUCAACGAUAUUCCGGGGAAAGUGUUUUAUCGGUGAUUUAGAUAUAGCACUCCAAUUGCUUUCAGAGCUGAUCCUAUACCCCACCUUUGAACAAUCUUAUGUAACGCAUAUCAAAUCCUCCACUAUGGAAAGUAUUCGCCGUGAAGAUGAUUAUCCCGUAACCUAUGCUUUUAAACUGUGGCAGAGAAUGCUCUGUGGAACACAGACCAAUCUAGAUAACAGCAGUGGCACUAUAGGUCAGAUUAACAACAUUAAAAGAAGUGAUUUGAUUGGCUGGCACGAACGAUGGAAUUUCCCCGAGCGGUUUGAAUUAAGUAUAGUGGGUUCCCUGGCACCCGAGCAGAUUUAUGAAUUGGCGGGAGAGC